GUCAGAGCUCCUACUAGUUUCCCUCUGCCUGCCUCUCUGUCUCUGUCUCUGUCUCUGUCUCUGUCUCUGUCUCUGUCUCUGUCUCUGUCUCUCUCUUUGUCUCUCUGUCUCUGUCUCUCUGUGUGUAUGUAUGUGUGUAUAUGUGUGUGUCUGUCUGUCUUUGUUCAUCCUCUCCUCUCUUUCUCUAUCUCUCUGCCUCAUGCUUGUGUGUGUGUGUGUGUGUGUGUGUGUGUGUGUGUGUGUGUGUAUGCUUAUGUGUGUGCCCAUUCACAGGGUCCAGGCUCCAAUUGUGUGUUCCCCAGAAGAGAUGACUGGGACAUCUGGCAUGGCUUUUUGCAGACUCACCUUGCUAGAAGCCGACAGAUCUGGGGCUUGAACCCAGGGCCUCACAUAUGCAAGACAAGUGGCUACCACCAAAUUGUGCUCUAGCCACUCCAGAGUUAGAUUUCAGAAGCCCAUGAUGAGGGAACUGCCACCACCCAGGUUUGAGAAGUAGCUUGGAGACCUUCCUGCCACGUGACAACUCUGGCUACGGAUCUGACCUGGGACCCACAGCCUGGGACUGCUUUAGGAGCCAAAGACUGAGCAGCAAGUGUGGACAUUACUCCCAGAAGAACUUGGUGCUGGGCAGACAGAAAGCUGAGUUUCACAGGCAUGCGUGCAGAGAGUUUCAGGAGGUCACGAGCCACCUGGCAUGAGCGCUGGAAACCAAACCUGGGUCCUCUGGAAGAACAGCAUCAGCCGAGCCACCUCUCCGGCCUGGUUUUCAAUAUUCAAUCUAGGCUCCUUCUUCUUACAUGACUCUCGAUUGUUGCACACCAACAAAACACUAAUCAGUCAGUACACGGACCCCGCGUUCAUUGCUAAUACAUACAAAUGCAAUGAAUUUUGUCUGUUAGUCAGAUAUCUGGAAACUUUCUGAAUUCAAUGAAUGUCCUGGAAUUAGAAAAAAAAAAAAAAAGAGUCUGGGAUUUGAGUGUAAAAGGACUUGUCAUCAGCAGCAGGCAGGC
rnacentral:lncRNA from 1 species